GUAGGGAGCGAGCGUUGUCCGGAAUUACUGGGUGUAAAGGGAGCGUAGGCGGGACGGUAAGUCAGGUGUGAAAUAUACGUGCUCAACAUGUAGACUGCACUUGAAACUGCUGUUCUUGAGUGAAGUAGAGGUAAGCGGAAUUCCUAGUGUAGCGGUGAAAUGCGUAGAUAUUAGGAGGAACAUCGGUGGCGAAGGCGGCUUACUGGGCUUUUAUUGACGCUGAGGCUCGAAAGCGUGGGGAGCAAACAGGAUUAGAUACCCUGGUAGUCCACGCUGUAAACGAUGAUUACUAGGUGUGGGGGGACUGACCCCUUCCGUGCCGCAGUUAACACAAUAAGU
rnacentral:rRNA from 1 species